AUAUCAAUAAGCGGAGGAAAAGAAACCAACAGGGAUUGCCUUAGUAGCGGCGAGUGAAGCGGCAAAAGCUCAAAUUUGAAAUCUGGCUCUUUCAGAGUCCGAGUUGUAAUUUGAAGAAGGUAUCUUUGGGUCUGGCUCUUGUCUAUGUUUCUUGGAACAGAACGUCACAGAGGGUGAGAAUCCCGUGCGAUGAGAUGAUCCAGGCCUAUGUAAAGUUCCUUCGAAGAGUCGAGUUGUUUGGGAAUGCAGCUCUAAGUGGGUGGUAAAUUCCAUCUAAAGCUAAAUAUUGGCGAGAGACCGAUAGCGAACAAGUACAGUGAUGGAAAGAUGAAAAGAACUUUGAAAAGAGAGUGAAAAAGUACGUGAAAUUGUUGAAAGGGAAGGGCUUGAGAUCAGACUUGGUAUUUUGUAUGUUACUUCUUCGGGGGUGGCCUCUACAGUUUAUCGGGCCAGCAUCAGUUUGGGCGGUAGGAGAAUUGCGUUGGAAUGUGGCACGACUUCGGUUGUGUGUUAUAGCCUU
rnacentral:rRNA from 1 species